rnacentral:rRNA from 1 species
GGACCCGCACAAGUAGUGGAGCAUGUGGUUUAAUUCGAAGAUACGCGCAGAACCUUACCAACACUUGACAUGUUCGUCGCGACUUUAAGAGAUUAAAGUUUUCGGUUCGGCCGGACGAAACACAGGUGCUGCAUGGCUGUCGUCAGCUCGUGUCGUGAGAUGUUGGUUAAGUCCCGCAACGAGCGCAACCCUCACUUUUAGUUGCCAUCAUUUAGUUGGGCACUCUGAAAGAACUGCCAGUGAUAAGCUGGAGGAAGGUGGGGAUGACGUCAAGUCCUCAUGGCCCUUACGUGUUGGGCUACACACGUGCUACAAUGGUCGGUACAGAGAGCAGCCACUACGCGAGUAGGCGCG